rnacentral:lncRNA from 1 species
CUGUGGUGCUUCCUCAGAAAACAGCAAGUGAAGAGCAAGUUGAUGAGACAUAUGACAAAAUAAACCCUGUGAGCAGACACGUGUGACAGACCCAGCUGCAAAAGUGGAAAGUGUGAACUGUGUUAUUUCAGUUAGGCUCAGCUUGUGCAGUCUAAGGACACAAGCAUCGGAAUUCUAUUAUGAUGGUGCCUGAUUUGGUGAUAGAGAAAAAAUGAAGAGGACAACUUGUACUGUUAAUAGAGGAAAAGAAAGUCUAACCUAGAGAUAAAAGUGGCAAUGCUCCAAAACUAAAGCACGUAUAUUAGUCAAGAUUCUGCAGAGAAAUAAAACCAAUAGGACAUAUA